rnacentral:rRNA from 1 species
AUCUACGACCAUACCACCCUGAACAUACCUGAUCUCCUCUGAUCUCAGAAGCUAAGCAGGGUCGGGCCUAGUUAGUACUUGGAUGGGAGAAU